AUGGACACCUGAGACAACUUCAGAAGGCACUGGAGGUCCUAAGAAGUUGUUUGACAUUCUACAUAUUUCCUGUGUCUGGAUUUAAGGUCUCAAGUAGACAGAUACCAAUUUAUCUGCUGGCAGACUCGCCACCCUGUAGCCAGAUACAUCGUUGUUCUUCAUAUUUUCGAACUUAGUAAAUGCUGGCGGGUGCUCAUGGUUGUUCAUUUGAAAGGAUGUAAUUUUUCAUUCACAUACAAGAAAACAAAUUGGAGGGGAAGGAUCUGAAAACAGCUACUCAAGUUUUUUUUCCC
rnacentral:lncRNA from 1 species